rnacentral:rRNA from 1 species
UUUGAUUCAUGGCUCAGGACGAACGCUGGCGGCGUGCCUAAUACAUGCAAGUCGAGCGGACAGAAGGGAGCUUGCUCCCGGAUGUUAGCGGCGGACGGGUGAGUAACACGUGGGUAACCUGCCUGUAAGACUGGGAUAACUCCGGGAAACCGGAGCUAAUACCGGAUAGUUCCUUGAACCGCAUGGUUCAAGGAUGAAAGACGGUUUCGGCUGUCACUUACAGAUGGACCCGCGGCGCAUUAGCUAGUUGGUGGGGUAAUGGCUCACCAAGGCGACGAUGCGUAGCCGACCUGAGAGGGUGAUCGGCCACACUGGGACUGAGACACGGCCCAGACUCCUACGGGAGGCAGCAGUAGGGAAUCUUCCGCAAUGGACGAAAGUCUGACGGAGCAACGCCGCGUGAGUGAUGAAGGUUUUCGGAUCGUAAAGCUCUGUUGUUAGGGAAGAACAAGUGCGAGAGUAACUGCUCGCACCUUGACGGUACCUAACCAGAAAGCCACGGCUAACUACGUGCCAGCAGCCGCGGUAAUACGUAGGUGGCAAGCGUUGUCCGGAAUUAUUGGGCGUAAAGGGCUCGCAGGCGGUUUCUUAAGUCUGAUGUGAAAGCCCCCGGCUCAACCGGGGAGGGUCAUUGGAAACUGGGAAACUUGAGUGCAGAAGAGGAGAGUGGAAUUCCACGUGUAGCGGUGAAAUGCGUAGAGAUGUGGAGGAACACCAGUGGCGAAGGCGACUCUCUGGUCUGUAACUGACGCUGAGGAGCGAAAGCGUGGGGAGCGAACAGGAUUAGAU